AACUAACGCUGGCGGCGUGCCUAACACAUGCAAGUCGUACGAGAAAGUUGGCUUCGGCCGAUGAGUAAAGUGGCGCACGGGUGAGUAAUGCGUGGAUAAUCUGCCCUUUAGUUGGGAAUAACGUACCGAAAGGUGCGCUAAUACCUGAUAAUACUGCAUAACUACUGUUGUGUAGUCAAAGAAGGCCUCUGUUUACAAGCUUUUGCUGAAGGAUGGGUCCGCGUACCAUUAGCUGGUUGGUGGGGUAAUGGCCUACCAAGGCUACGAUGGUUAGCUGGUCUGAGAGGAUGAUCAGCCACACUGGAACUGAGACACGGUCCAGACUCCUACGGGAGGCAGCAGUGAGGAAUAUUGCGCAAUGGGGGCAACCCUGACGCAGCAACGCCGCGUGAGUGAGGAAGGUUUUCGGACCGUAAAGCUCUGUCGAGCGGGAAGAAAUGUAUCAUGGCUAAUAUCCAUGAUACUUGACGGUACCGCUAAAGGAAGCACC
rnacentral:rRNA from 1 species